GAAGAGUUUGAUCAUGGCUCAGAUUGAACGCUGGCGGCAGGCCUAACACAUGCAAGUCGAACGGUAACAGGAAGCAGCUUGCUGCUUUGCUGACGAGUGGCGGACGGGUGAGUAAUGUCUGGGAAACUGCCUGAUGGAGGGGGAUAACUACUGGAAACGGUGGCUAAUACCGCAUAACGUCGCAAGACCAAAGAGGGGGACCUUCGGGCCUCUUGCCAUCAGAUGUGCCCAGAUGGGAUUAGCUUGUUGGUGAGGUAACGGCUCACCAAGGCGACGAUCCCUAGCUGGUCUGAGAGGAUGACCAGCCACACUGGAACUGAGACACGGUCCAGACUCCUACGGGAGGCAGCAGUGGGGAAUAUUGCACAAUGGGCGCAAGCCUGAUGCAGCCAUGCCGCGUGUAUGAAGAAGGCCUUCGGGUUGUAAAGUACUUUCAGCGGGGAG
rnacentral:rRNA from 1 species